rnacentral:rRNA from 1 species
CCUACGGGUGGCUGCAGUGGGGAAUAUUGGACAAUGGGCGAAAGCCUGAUCCAGCCAUGCCGCGUGUGUGAAGAAGGCCUUCGGGUUGUAAAGCACUUUCAGUGGGGAAGAAAGCCUUGGGGCUAAUACCCUCGAGGAAGGACAUCACCCACAGAAGAAGCACCGGCUAACUCCGUGCCAGCAGCCGCGGUAAUACGGAGGGUGCGAGCGUUAAUCGGAAUUACUGGGCGUAAAGCGCGCGUAGGCGGUCUGAUAAGCCGGUUGUGAAAGCCCCGGGCUCAACCUGGGAACGGCAUCCGGAACUGUCAGGCUAGAGUGCAGGAGAGGAAGGUAGAAUUCCCGGUGUAGCGGUGAAAUGCGUAGAGAUCGGGAGGAAUACCAGUGGCGAAGGCGGCCUUCUGGACUGACACUGACGCUGAGGUGCGAAAGCGUGGGUAGCAAACAGGAUUAGAUACCGCGGUAGUC